UCUCACCCAUUCCCUGUCCGUCGCCUCCGAUGUAGCUGCUGCGCCACCAAGGACCGCUUCGAGGACCUGCCGGACGACGUGCUCGAGCUGCUCUUGUCGUUCUUGCCCACGCGAGAUACAGUGAGGACAUCCGUGCUCGCUCCCCGCUGGCGCACCCUAUGGAAGUCCGUGCCAGCCUUGCGCCUUGACGGUUCUCAGUUCGAGAGUGCCCAGGUUUUCAGCAAUUUCGUCAAUAAGCUGCUUGAGCACCGUGACAGAACAUCCCAUCUUCAUGAAUGUGAGAUCUUUUUUAUUUCAAAAUACUACUAUGGGAGGUUCGAUCGUGAGGACAAAAACGGUAAGGCACGCCGUGAAGUUGAAUCGUGGGUCCAGUAUGCUGUCUUGUGCCGAGUGCCAGUGCUUCGAGUUCUAAACUGGGGUGAUAAUUAUAUGGAGCUAUCCAGCAGCAGUGUCAUCUCCAAGCACUUGACAAGGCUAGAGCUUUAUUAG
rnacentral:rRNA from 1 species